rnacentral:rRNA from 1 species
AUACGGAGGGUGCGAGCGUUAAUCGGAAUCACUGGGCGUAAAGCGUACGUAGGCGGUUGGUUAAGUUAGAUGUGAAAGCCCCGGGCUUAACCUGGGAACUGCAUUUAAAACUGGCGAACUAGAGUUGAGUAGAGGGGAGUGGAAUUUCAGGUGUAGCGGUGAAAUGCGUAGAGAUCUGAAGGAACACCAGUGGCGAAGGCGACUCCCUGGACUCGAACUGACGCUGAGGCACGAAAGCGUGGGUAGCAAACGGGAUUAGAUACCCUAGUAGUCC